AGCGGCGGACGGGUGAGUAACGCGUGAGUAACCUGUCCUCAACAGGGGGAUAACGAGCCGAAAGGCUCACUAAUACCGCAUAAGACCACGGAGUCACAUGGCUUUGAGGUCAAAGGAGCAAUCCGGUUGAGGGUGGACUCGCGUCUGAUUAGCUGGUUGGUGAGGUAACGGCCCACCAAGGCGACGAUCAGUAGCCGACCUGAGAGGGUGAUCGGCCACAUUGGAACUGAGACACGGUCCAAACUCCUACGGGAGGCAGCAGUGGGGAAUAUUGGGCAAUGGGGGAAACCCUGACCCAGCAACGCCGCGUGAAGGAAGAAGGUUUUCGGAUCGUAAACUUCUAUCCUUGGUGAAGAUAAUGACGGUAGCCAAGAAGGAAGCCCCGGCUAACUACGUGCCAGCAGCCGCGGUAAUACGUAGGGGGCAAGCGUUGUCCGGAAUGAUUGGGCGUAAAGGGCGCGUAGGCGGCCUGGUAAGUCUGGAGUGAAAGUCCUGCUUUUAAGGUGGGAAUUGCUUUGGAUACUGUCGGGCUUGAGUGCAGGAGAGGUAAGUGGAAUUCCCGGUGUAGCGGUGAAAUGCGUAGAGAUCGGGAGGAACACCAGUGGCGAAGGCGACUUACUGGACUGUAACUGACGCUGAGGCGCGAAAGUGUGGGGAGCAAACAGGAUUAGAUACCCUGGUAGUCCACACU
rnacentral:rRNA from 1 species